rnacentral:rRNA from 1 species
GUGUGUUACAAGUGUCACACGGUACUGCCGGUCUUAAGCCGGAGGAAGUGGGGAUGACGUCAAGUCAGCAUGGCCUUUAUGUCCUGGGCUACACACACGCUACAAUGGCCAACACAAUAGGUUGCUAAGCCGCGAGGUGGAGCCAAUCCUCAAAGUUGGUCUCAGUUCAGAUUGCAGGCUGCAACCCGCCUGCAUGAAGAUGGAGUUGCUAGUAACCGCAGGUCAGCUAUACUGCGGUGAAUACGUUCCCGGGGCUU